ACAAUGAAGAGUUUGAUCCUGGCUCAGAACGAACGCUGGUGGCGUGUUUUAUACAUGCAAGUCGA
rnacentral:rRNA from 1 species